AAAGCUUCGGGGAGUCGGCAAACAGACUUUGAUCCGGAGAUGUCUGAAUGGGGGAACCCACCUAACAUAAGUUAGGUAUCUUAAGCUGAAUACAUAGGCUUAAGAAGCGAACCAGGGGAACUGAAACAUCUAAGUACCCUGAGGAAAAGAAAUCAACCGAGAUUCCCUUAGUAGUGGCGAGCGAACGGGGACCAGCCCUUAAGCUGUAUUGAUGUUAGCGGAACGCUCUGGAAAGUGCGGCCAUAGUGGGUGAUAGCCCUGUACGCGAAAACAUCUUUACAGUGAAAUCGAGUAGGACGGAGCACGAGAAACUUUGUCUGAAUAUGGGGGGACCAUCCUCCAAGGCUAAAUACUACUGACUGACCGAUAGUGAACUAGUACCGUGAGGGAAAGGCGAAAAGAACCCCGGAGAGGGGAGUGAAAUAGAUCCUGAAACCGUAUGCGUACAAGCAGUGGGAGCCCACUUUGUUGGGUGACUGCGUACCUUUUGUAUAAUGGGUCAGCGACUUAUUUUCAGUGGCAAGCUUAACCGAAUAGGGGAGGCGUAGCGAAAGCGAGUCUUAAUAGGGCGUCUAGUCGCUGGGAAUAGACCCGAAACCGGGCGAUCUAUCCAUGGGCAGGUUGAAGGUUGGGUAACACUAACUGGAGGACCGAACCGACUACCUUUGAAAAGUUAGCGGAUGACCUGUGGAUCGGAGUGAAAGGCUAAUCAAGCUCGGAGAUAGCUGGUUCUCCUCGAAAGCUAUUUAGGUAGCGCCUCGUGUAUCACUGCUGGGGGUAGAGCACUGUUUCGGCUAGGGGGUCAUCCCGACUUACCAAACCGAUGCAAACUCCGAAUACCUACAAGUGCCGAGCAUGGGAGACACACGGCGGGUGCUAACGUCCGUCGUGAAAAGGGAAACAACCCAGACCGUCAGCUAAGGUCCCAAAGUUAUGGUUAAGUGGGAAACGAUGUGGGAAGGCUUAGACAGCUAGGAGGUUGGCUUAGAAGCAGCCACCCUUUAAAGAAAGCGUAAUAGCUCACUAGUCGAGUCGGCCUGCGCGGAAGAUGUAACGGGGCUCAAACCAUACACCGAAGCUACGGGUUCAUCCUUUGGAUGAGCGGUAGAGGAGCGUUCUGUAAGCCUGUGAAGGUGAGUUGAGAAGCUUGCUGGAGGUAUCAGAAGUGCGAAUGCUGACAUGAGUAACGAUAAUGGGUGUGAAAAACACCCACGCCGAAAGACCAAGGUUUCCUGCGCAACGUUAAUCGACGCAGGGUUAGUCGGUCCCUAAGGCGAGGCUGAAAAGCGUAGUCGAUGGAAAACAGGUUAAUAUUCCUGUACUUCUGGUUAUUGCGAUGGAGGGACGGAGAAGGCUAGGCCAGCUUGGCGUUGGUUGUCCAAGUUUAAGGUGGUAGGCUGGAAUCUUAGGUAAAUCCGGGAUUCUAAGGCCGAGAGCUGAUGACGAGUUAACUUUUAGUUAACGAAGUGGUUGAUGCCAUGCUUCCAAGAAAAGCUUCUAAGCUUCAGGUAACCAGGAACCGUACCCCAAACCGACACAGGUGGUUGGGUAGAGAAUACCAAGGCGCUUGAGAGAACUCGGGUGAAGGAACUAGGCAAAAUGGCACCGUAACUUCGGGAGAAGGUGCGCCGGUGAGGGUGAAGUAUUUACUACGUAAGCCCAUGCCGGUCGAAGAUACCAGGCCGCUGCGACUGUUUAUUAAAAACACAGCACUCUGCAAACACGAAAGUGGACGUAUAGGGUGUGACGCCUGCCCGGUGCCGGAAGGUUAAUUGAUGGGGUUAGCUAACGCGAAGCUCUUGAUCGAAGCCCCGGUAAACGGCGGCCGUAACAAUAACGGUCCUAAGGUAGCGAAAUUCCUUGUCGGGUAAGUUCCGACCUGCACGAAUGGCGUAACGAUGGCGGCGCUGUCUCCACCCGAGACUCAGUGAAAUUGAAAUCGCUGUGAAGAUGCAGUGUAUCCGCGGCUAGACGGAAAGACCCCGUGAACCUUUACUAUAGCUUUGCACUGGACUUUGAAUUUGCUUGUGUAGGAUAGGUGGGAGGCUUUGAAGUGUGGACGCCAGUCUGCAUGGAGCCAACCUUGAAAUACCACCCUGGCAACUUUGAGGUUCUAACUCAGGUCCGUUAUCCGGAUCGAGGACAGUGUAUGGUGGGUAGUUUGACUGGGGCGGUCUCCUCCUAAAGAGUAACGGAGGAGUACGA
rnacentral:rRNA from 1 species